rnacentral:rRNA from 1 species
GGAUAUGUUAAUAGCAUAUUCAUUUGACGUUAGCUGCAGAAGAAGCACCGGCUAACUCCGUGCCAGCAGCCGACGGUAAGUACGGGAGGGUGCGAGACGUUAAUACGGAAUUACGUGGGACGUAAAGCGCAUGCAGGUUGGUUUAGUUAAGUCAGAUGUAGAAACGGCCCGGGGCUACCAACCGUACGGUAAUUGCUAUUUAGAAACUGGACAAACUAGAGUACUGUAGGAGGGGGUAGAAUUUCAGGUGUAGCGGUGAAAUGCGUAGAGAUCUGAAGGAAUACCGGUGGCGAAGGCGGCCCCCUGGACAGAUACUGACACUCAGAUGCGAAAGCGUGGGGAGCAAACAGGAUUAGAUACCCUGGUAG